AUGCGUGCCAAGAUCUUGGGCAGUGCUAGGGACCGGCAAGUCGCGAGUUCUUACCUCGAAGGCGUCAUUCUGGCAAACCUAGAUAAGGAUAACUUCCUCGUGCCUUACUUUCCCGAAGGCGCACAUUGCACACUCAUCCUCUUAAGCCUAAAAUAUUCCAUGGCCACGUAUUUCGACUCGGAUCGUCAAUUGAAGAAAGACUACACAAAUAUCAAGAAAGUUCUUGAUGAAGCUCUCCCCGGCUACGCCAGAUCUGGAGGCACCUUCAGCAGGCCAAUUCGUAGGUACAGCAAGCACGUGUUCACCCACAAAUACGACAUUCCCCUGCAUCAAGCAGCCGCCUGGCGGUCAGAAGGAUGCCUACUACGCCCUCCAUCACAUGCGGGCGAUCGUACGGGACCAUAA
rnacentral:rRNA from 1 species